rnacentral:lncRNA from 1 species
GUUCCAUCAGAUGACCUUGCUUCACUAGUGGUCCAUAACAAACUACAGUAUUAAAGCUGAAAUCUGAAAUUUGGGAGUAAACAGGUUGAUAUGAAGAUAAUAGUCUGGAGCAGAGAAGUAGUGGAAGAUACCCACCAAAAGAGUGAGCAAUGAGCUGUUUCAACUUGCAGGUACAAAACCCGUCUAUUAGCACAUUAUGCCUACAUACAGCUAGUGGAACAGAGGCUGCUAAAUUUUCAGAGCCUUUUAUGUUGAUCUCUUCCUCCAAAAGGUCUUAAUUAAAGCUCUACAGAAGCAGCUGUGAUUCAGGUAAACUUUUAUUCUACUUUUAAGAAUUUCUCCAUAUUUUGCAAGGUUUGAUUUAAACCAUGUAACUAUGUUCACAUGCUUCAGUAUUUAGUUGAAUUGCGUGCAGAC